GGGCCUGUAGCUCAGGGGUUAGAGCAGUCGGCUCAUAACCGAUUGGUCGAAGGUUCAAAUCCUUCCAGGCCCACCA
rnacentral:tRNA from 1 species